UUUGUGAAAGAGGCUCGCCGUGAACCAUAUACGGGGCACGGACAGUGAACAUGUUAAUUAGGUUUAAUAUGUAAUUUCUCAACUACAAAUCUUAUCUUGGAAAUUUUCGCGUAUGCGGCCUUACGAAAGAUUACUAAGGAUUAUAUGUACCAUUAAUAUCCUUUUCCAAAAGAAAAAAAAACAACCAAGUCCUAAGAAUUUAAAGGUUCAAAAUCAAUCAAUCUAACCAAAUGUCUAAUUACUCAUAUUAAUUAGUCAAUAAUCUGUGAUAAAUCGAUUAACUCUGCGUCAGUCAGUGAAAAACACACUUUUUUAAUUAUUUGACUUAAGUAUUUGUUAAAUUUCUAAGAAAUUGCUAACACUGCUUUAAAAAUGCAAUUUCUGCACUUUUAUACUUUGGUUUCAGCCUGAAGACUAAUACGAACCGAGAGUGUGUGGCCGGUUGACGAUUCCGGUCAGCGUCGACAGAUAUCGGCCGGACAGCCCGCGGUCGAUGGACGAAAACUGACGACUCUCAACUGCUAGGUUGCAGAUGUAUCAGAAGGCCAUUGCCGGCAGGCAAUAAUCGCUGUGUGUAGACGUUAUUGGCCUGGGACGUCAGGCCGGCCGAUAGGACCAGACUGCAGGCGAAAUGGUGAUGGGUGGGACCCUUAAGUAUCUCCUGUUUACUUUUCUAGUAAACUUGCUGUACUGCAUAUGUCAGGAGGAUAAACUAAAUGACUGGAUACACUCCAACAACUGCCUCCCGAAUGCGCCGAUAGAACUAGACUUUUGCACAUGCCAGUGUUCCGAAGUCACUUCUGCCCUUCGCUCAUCGCCAGAGUUACAGUUGGAGGUCUCCCGAAGGCUUCAACUGAGGCGAAGAAACUGGAAGAAAAGUAAACGUACAACUACAAAAUCUUAUACUAUAACGCCCUAUACCCCCGGCAUUAUUAAGUGCUGGGAGACCUGCGUUGACACACUAAUUUAGUGAAUUAAAUAACAUGUUAUCGUAAUAAAGGAUACAUUGACACAACUUCCAACUUCUUCUUCCUAGCGUUGUCCCGCCAUAUUGCUACGGCUCAUGGAAGCCUGGGGUCCGCUUCACAACUAAUCCCGUAGGCACUAGUUUUUACGAAAGCGACUGCCAUCUGACCUUCCAACCCAGAGGGUAAAACUAGGCCUUGUUGGGAUUAUUCCGAUUUCCUCACGAUGUUUUCCUUCACCGAAAAGUGACUGGCAAAUAUCAAAUGAUAUUUCGUACAUGAAUUCCGAAAAACUCAUUGGUACGAGCCGGGGUUUGAACCCGCGACCUCCGGAUUGCAAGUCGCACGCUCUUACCGCUAGGCCACCAGCGCUUCCGACACAACUUCGAAAGUGGGGUAAUUUCAAAUAAUGGAAAUAUGUAAGCUGCAGAGAUAACUGGCCCCCGCACUGUAUAGAAAUAUGUUUGCAGGGGUCAACUAUCUCUGCAACUGAGUGUACAAAACCUGAAGUUUCUACAGUUUCUACUGUAGCUACGGUAAGCAAGGUGCCUUGGUAAACGUUGCUGUAGCGUAAGUGGUUCCAAAGUAUAGUGCUUCUGAUAGUUCUGAUUUACCCCCUUACUCAUAAAACUUUACGGGCCUGAAUUAGCUAAUUGUAAGUUAUUUUUUUACAAAGGGGCAAAGUUGUUGUUUAACCACCCAUGCUAAUAUUGAUACCCGAGCACAACAACGAAAAUCAAGAUAUAUAGGUUUUAGUUUUAGAACUAUUUCCAUAAGUAAUAGAUUAUUAUUUCAAAAUGAAAGUACAGUCUUCGUUAAAUCCGUAUAUCAUUCAUACAUUUGUUUACAAAAAACUUAUUGCCACUAUUUCUAUUUAAUCAUGUAUCAUGUAGGUCAGUAACUUAGUAAUAAGUAGGAUUCGCUUAUCUUUCGCUGUGGACUAGUAAGUAUACAAUAUAUGUACCUACUAUCAGAGACCUUCGCGGUGAACCACCUUAAGGACGAAAAUCUUUUAAACGUCUUGCACAAGCCGUGAGGCGAUAACACAAAAAGUGAUGACCAAUAGUAUGGCACUAAAAAAAGUGGGUGUCGAGAAGAAAAGGCUAGCUCAGGUAAAGUUUAUUGCCAUCUAUUGUCUGUGUGACGGCCGGCAUUUGCAAACUAAGAUAAGUAAUCCUAAGUGCAUCCUGGUUAUCUUUAUAGAGAGGCGAAGUUUAGCCCAAACAACAGCAACUAAUAAACUAUCCUUACUACCUAUUGUUUGUCUCAUUAUCUGCUUUUACCCCUUCAUUAUUAAGACAAAACUCUACGGCAGUCGGAGUUUAGCUUGCUCGUAAGGAUCGAGGCAAAAAUUCUGAACUAGUUCACCGCGAAUGUCCCCGAUUGUACAAGUACCUAAUUAGUUCUUUCUCAACGGUUGCACGUACAAAUACUAAUUAAAUCAAACAAGAGAGAAAAAGUAGUAAGAACAUCAAGAGAAAUAGCUCUCUACCUUAUAAAUCCUAUAAUUAUACCCUAUCGCUUUGACAUACGCAUGUAAAUAAUGCUUUUAGAGUAAGCCAAGCAUAAUUAAACCUUAUUAAAAUGGCAUUAAGAAAUUAUCAAGUGAACGCGACGUUAGAUUUGUCAUGCGAGUACAAAAACUACGUUGCUUAGUUUAAAAGUUACAACUCCUAAUUAAUCUCUAUUCAAAUAUAUAUCUUAAUAUAACCAGUGAAGAAUGAAUUUCGAGCGUUACACGGAUGUAGUUAUGUUUAUUAGUUAUCGAUGUUGUUCAUCACAAUGCUGCGUCACUCAGUCUUAUCUUGAACCGCAAUGAAGAUUGCAGUGAUUUUUGUAUUCAUAAAUUUCAUAAUAUUGGCGAUAUCAAACUUAGGCUUUUCUGACAAGAGGAGUUAUUCAGAUAACUAUCUCGUGGGUGUAAUGAAGAGCUUGAGAUCCGGCAGGGGAAGAAAACCCGUAUUAAAAGUAUUAUUUCUCAAGGGGAAACGUAAAAAAGUUGAUUUCCAUUCAACCAACUGGAGCAAAAUGGAAUGGAUGGAUAGCCGAAGACGAAUAAUUCCAAUUAUUUUUAACAAAUAGAAUUAACUGAAACAAA